AACGCUAGCUACAGGCUUAACACAUGCAAGUCGAGGGGCAUCACGGAGAUAGCUUGCUAUCUUUGGUGGCGACCGGCGCACGGGUGAGUAACGCGUAUCCAACCUGCCCAUUACUCAGGGAUAGCCUUGCGAAAGUAAGAUUAAUACCUGAUGUUGUUUGAUUGCCGCAUGACGAUCAAACCAAAGAUUUAUUGGUAAUGGAUGGGGAUGCGUGACAUUAGGUAGUUGGUGAGGUAACGGCUCACCAAGCCCACGAUGUCUAGGGGUUCUGAGAGGAAGGUCCCCCACACUGGAACUGAGACACGGUCCAGACUCCUACGGGAGGCAGCAGUGAGGAAUAUUGGUCAAUGGUCGGAAGACUGAACCAGCCAAGUAGCGUGAAGGAUGAAGGUUCUAUGGAUUGUAAACUUCUUUUAUACGGGAAUAAAACCUCCCACGUGUGGGAGCUUGUAUGUACCGUAUGAAUAAGCAUCGGCUAACUCCGUGCCAGCAGCCGCGGUAAUACGGAGGAUGCGAGCGUUAUCCGGAUUUAUUGGGUUUAAAGGGAGCGUAGACGGGAGAUUAAGUCAGUUGUGAAAGGCUGCGGCUCAACCGCAGCACUGCAGUUGAUACUGGUUUCCUUGAGUGCGGUUGAGGUGUAUGGAAUUCGUGGUGUAGCGGUGAAAUGCUUAGAUAUCACGAAGAACUCCGAUUG
rnacentral:rRNA from 1 species